rnacentral:rRNA from 1 species
AUACGUAGGUGACAAGCGUUAUCCGGAUUUACUGGGCGUAAAGGGCGUGUAGGCGGUCUUGCAAGUCAGAAGUGAAAUUCCUGAGCUCAACUCGGGCGCUGCUUCUGAAACUGCAGGACUUGAGUGCUGGAGGGGAUAGCGGAAUUCCUAGUGGAGCGGUAAAAUGCGCAGAUAUUAGGAGGAAUACCAGUGGCGAAGGCGACUCUCUGGACUGAUACUGACGCUGAGGCACGAAAGCGUGGGGAGCAAACAGGAUUAGAUACCCUGGUAGUCCACGCCAUAAACGAUGAGUGCUAGGUGUCGGGGGUCAAACCUCGGUGCCGCAGUUAACACAUUAAGCACUCCGCCUGGGGAGUACGGCCGCAAGGUUGAAACUCAAAUGAAUUGGCGGGG